rnacentral:rRNA from 1 species
GUGGGGAAUUUUGGACAAUGGGCGCAAGCCUGAUCCAGCAAUGCCGCGUGCAGGAAGAAGGCCUUCGGGUUGUAAACUACUUUUGUACGGAACGAAACGGUCCUGGUUAAUACCCGGGGCUAAUGACGGUACCGUAAGAAUAAGCACCGGCUAACUACGUGCCAGCAGCCGCGGUAAUACGUAGGGUGCAAGCGUUAAUCGGAAUUACUGGGCGUAAAGCGUGCGCAGGCGGUGCUGUAAGACAGGCGUGAAAUCCCCGGGCUUAACCUGUGAAUUGCGCUUGUGACUGCAGUGCUAGAGUGCGGCAGAGGGGGAUGGAAUUCCGCGUGUAGCAGUGAAAUGCGUAGAUAUGCGGAGGAACACCGAUGGCGAAGGCAAUCCCCUGGGCCUGCACUGACGCUCAUGCACGAAAGCGUGGGGAGCAAACAGGAUUAGAAACCCCGGUAGUCC